UUGGAAGGGAAUUAGAAAAUCUUAGUGCCCCUGCCAAGUCACAGCGAUGUGCUGCCAAGGACGGCAGCACAAACCCCGGUCGGGCCACGGAUGGCUCGUCCGGGGUGCUCGCGUCCGCCUUUCACAACCUCCCGCAGGGGCACUUAGAAUUUCUUAUUCCCA
rnacentral:ncRNA from 1 species